rnacentral:rRNA from 1 species
AGCAGCCGCGGUAAUUCCAGCUCCAAUAGCGUAUAUUAAAGUUGUUGCAGUUAAAAAGCUCGUAGUUGAAUUUCGGGGUUAGCAGGUCGGUCGUGCCAUCGGUAUGAACUGGUCUCGCUGAUCCCUCCCUCUUGACGAACUGUGAUGCCAUUAAUUUGGUGUCGCAGGGAAUCAGGACUGUUACUUUGAAAAAUUAGAGUGUUUAAAGCAGGCUCACGCUUGAAUACAUUAGCAUGGAAUAAUGAAAUAGGACGUUUGAUCCUAUUUUGUUGGUUUCUAGGAUUGACGUAAUGAUUAAUAGGGAUAGUUGGGGGCAUUAGUAUUCAAUUGUCAGAGGUGAAAUUCUUGGAUUUAUUGAAGACUAACUACUGCGAAAGCAUUUGCCAAGGAUGUUUUCAUUAAUCAAGAACGAAAGUUAGGGGAUCGAAGACGAUCAGAUACCGUCGUAGUCUUAACCAUAAACUAUGCCGACUAGGGAUCGGAUGAUGUUAAUUUUUUAAUGACUCU